GGGGGCGGGGCCGCGCGCCUACUGUGUGCCGGGCGCGCGCCGGACGCCGGGCCGCGCGUCCUCGCCGCGCCGGGAGGGACUGCGAGUUCCGGGAAGCUCGGAGCGCCCGGGCGAGCGGGCUCGCCUCUGCCUGUGCGGCGGCCGGUGGCGGCCCCCCCCGGAGGCUCCGGGGACUUCCUGCCCCGCGCGGAGGUCGGAACGGCUGCUCCAGCCCACUCACGCUGCGAGCUCGGAACCACCGGGUCUGGGUCCCCCGCCGGUCGGGCCCGGCCUGUGGAGCGCCGCUGUUCCCUACCCCGCCGGCGCCGGGCGCUUAACCGCAGCUUCCCAAAUAGUUGUUGGCUCGGAUGGGUCCACUCUGUACCCCGCCCCCGGGACGUCCUGCGGGGCCUUCAGAGCCGGUCCUUACCAGGGAAUUAAAGCUACAAGCACCUCCUGUACCUCCUCUCUUUUCAUCGGUGAUUCUUGAAUCGGCACCAUUUGGGACAGUGUUACCAAUGCAAAUUUCCUGACCCCACCCCAGACCUACGGGAUCAGAAAUUCGGCAGGUGGGGCCCAGCCAGGUGUAUUUUAACAAGGCCUCCGGGUGAUUCUGGUGCAUACUGAAGUUUGAGACCCGUGUUUGAUCCUCGCGGCAUCCUGUCAGUCACCAGGGAGGGCUCAGGUGACCACCCCCAGUUUACAAAGGAGACACCUGAAGCCUAAGGGAGAUUAAGUCACGCGACUAUCCUGCGGGAGCGCUGUGACUGGGACCCCGGUCUCCUGUGCUCUGAUCUCAACAAAUAUUUAUGGAGUGCCAGCUAUGCACUGUUCUAGGUGCUGGAGAAGCUGCAGGAACAAGAUAAAAUCCCUGCCUUCCUGGAGCUAACAGUGGGAAAAGACAAGCUGUAAAUACACAAACAAUUCACAGAUCCCAUGAGGGCCAGAGAACCAAUCUUGGAAGGCCCACAACCAAGAACGAUGCACCACAUCACGCCAUGGCUGCACCCUAUACUCAGAUGGAGUCUGCACAGGCCCUUUUUGGAAUUACCAGCUCCAGAGUGAGAGCCUGAGAUGAGCGCAUGUAAAUGGCUCAGCCUGGGUCACGUGUUCUGCCUGGCAAAAAAGGGAGAAAGUGCAUUUCUGGCCUUCUCAGCAUAUAUAGCAGAAGGCAGACUCCAGGAUAGGUGCCCUAGAAGAUCUUAAUUGUGUUGAGCGUCUGGAUGGAGGCCAGAAGGCACAGCUCCAGGACUUUCCUCUCACACCUGCCUUCUAGUACCAUCCGGCAGACUCUGUUCCAUGGGUGGAAUCACUUCCCACUAGUCGAGUCUCCGCAGCAGGUCGUCCUGUGUAGGAGCCGUUUUGCAAGUUCACCGCAGGCCCAUCCCCCUCCUGGAGCCCGUGGGGAGGUGCUCAGGGCAGGACGCUUUCCCCCAGGGCAGCUGUGAGUCUACGAGGGCGGCAGGAUUUUAUUUAUUUGACAGAGAGAGACACAGUGAGAGAGGGAACACAAGCAGGAGGAGUGGGAGAGGAAGAAGCAGGCUUCCAGCUGAGCAGGGAGCCCGAUGCGGGGCUCGAUCCCAGGAACCUGAGACGGUGACCUGAGCCGAAGGCAGACGCUCAACGACUGAGCCACCCAGGCGCCCCAUAAGUUACCUUUUUAAUAUCUGUCCAUUCCAUUGCGCUAUAAGCACCAUGAUGUCAAAAAUACCUCUCCUGACAAAGACUCUCUCCUUGCUCAAACCCUAGCCAGGCUCCUCUGAGCCUUCUUCUCAACUAGACCUCAACCUUGGCCUAUAACGAGGACAGAGUCUGAACACAGAUGAUUUUAUACAUCUACCUCCCUUUACACUGAAGACUUAAAUGCUGACAGUUUUUAACAGCUCAAGGCUGCCCUGGAAGGAUCACCCCAGCCCCCCUUAAAUAUCUGCUGGAGGAAGCUCACGGCUAUCCAAAGAAUUAACCGUUUAUUGUAGUUAACACCUAACCGUCCGCCCCUAACCACCCUCUCUUAGAGAGUUUACUAAGAAGGGCUUCCAAUUAUAAAUCCUUUCUCUGUCCCUUUGAGAUGUAUGUGUAUCUCCUACAAAUCAAGAGUGUCUUUCCCAAGGAUGGAAAGCCCUUCCUUUACAAUGUAAUCAUCAGGAAGGACAGGGCCUCUGCCUCCCAAGCCUCUGUGAGGAUAGAAUCCUCACUCUGAUACUUGCCAGCCGCAGACACAGCUAGCAUUUUCAGCAUUUACGCUGAUCACUCCUUUGUAAUUUUGCACUUCCCUGACUCUAUUUAAAAUGCCCAGUCAUUCUGUGCAAAUCAAAGUUGAAUCCAUUCAUGCUGGACCCUCUUCCCUAUUGCAACAGUACAUUAAUGAUUAAGAUCUGUCCUUACCACUUUAACUGGUGUCUGGUUUUGUUUCUCUUUGACAUUUGCUCAUUAUAGCAUGCCUAGACCCUAGCAUGGUGCCUGGCAUAUAGUAGAUGCUCAAUAUAUACUUCCUGAAUUAAAAGACUGUCGAUU